rnacentral:rRNA from 1 species
AUUGAACGCUGGCGGCAUGCCUUACACAUGCAAGUCGAACGGUAACAGGUCUUCGGAUGCUGACGAGUGGCGAACGGGUGAGUAAUACAUCGGAACGUGCCCAGACGUGGGGGAUAACGAGGCGAAAGCUUUGCUAAUACCGCAUACGAUCAAAGGAUGAAAGCAGGGGACCGCAAGGCCUUGUGCGUUUGGAGCGGCCGAUGGCAGAUUAGGUAGUUGGUGGGAUAAAAGCUUACCAAGCCGACGAUCUGUAGCUGGUCUGAGAGGACGACCAGCCACACUGGGACUGAGACACGGCCCAGACUCCUACGGGAGGCAGCAGUGGGGAAUUUUGGACAAUGGGCGAAAGCCUGAUCCAGCAAUGCCGCGUGCAGGAUGAAGGCCUUCGGGUUGUAAACUGCUUUUGUACGGAACGAAAAGGCUCUGGCUAAUACCUGGGGCACAUGACGGUACCGUAAGAAUAAGCACCGGCUAACUACGUG